GGUGCUGGCUCCAGGGCCAGGUUACCUAAUGAAAAAUGAGAAAAAAAAAAAGAGGGAUAUGACUAUGUGCUCUGAACAAGAAAAAAUCAGAAAUAGUAGAUCUUAGACAUUUUUGCAAAGCUAUAAUAAUAACUUAGAGAAGGAGACUGCCACUUCUCUUGUAGUUUAAGUCACCUCUAGAUCACUAUUUCUCAAGGGCCCAUGGUUAUCUAUGACAUCUUUUUAUUUUAGUCUUUUCAUUUCAAUGAUAAUCUUUAAAAAACAGCACAAGCACUUUCUAGAAUAAAUGGGUAUCCAUAUUAUAACUGAGUACUGCCAUAUAAUUUUGGUGCCCAAAUUUGUGGUUUGUAUGUGUGCUGUAUAAAAAAAAAAGAGAAAGAGAGACAAUAGUCAGAUGUAGUAGAAUAGACAAGCUGACCUCAAAAGAAUCUGUAAUGGGAAUAUUCCGUACCAUAUCAAAUGUACUGUGUGGAUCUCAACUUUAACAAAGCAAUUCACUAUAUGUACAUCAGUUGGAAGUAUGAUGGCAAAUAUGCAAUUCAAUUCAAUUCUAUUCCCAAUUUCAGUUACCCAUUUAACAGAUUUCAAAAACUGCAAUGCAAAUCUUUUUUUUAAAUAACAGCUUCACUGAGAUAUAAUUCACAUACCACACAACUCACUCACUUAAAGAGUACAAUUUAAUUUUUAGUAUAUUCACAGUUGUGCAACCAUAACCACAAUUUUAUAAUAUUUUCCUCACCCCAAAAAGGAAAUCCUGUACCCAUUAGUAGUCAUUUCGCAUUUUCUCCCAAACCUUCCCCUGACCAGGCCUAAGCAAAGACUAAACUACUUUCCAUCUGUAUGGAUUUACCUAUUGUGGACAUUUCAUAUAAAUGACAUUAUAUACGUGAUCUUUUGUGUCUGCCUGCUUUCAUUUAGCAUAACAUUUCCAAGGUUUGUUAUAGCAUGUAUCAGUACUUCAUUUCUUUUUAUUGCCAAAUAAUAUUCUAUUGUAUGGAUAUACAUUUUACUUAUCAACUUAUCAGCUGAUGGACUUUGGGGUUGUUUCUCCAUUUUGGCUGAUUACACAAUUUGGCUACUACACAUAAUGCUACCAUGAACAUUCACGUACAAGUUUUUGUGUGGACAUAUGUUCUCAUUCUAUAUAUAUCCAGGAGUGGAAAUGCUAGGUCAUAUGAUAACUCUAUGCAUAACCUCCUGAGGAAUUACCAGGCUGCUUUACAAAGCGGUUAUACCAUUUUACAAUCCCACCAGAAGUAUACAAGGGAUCCACUUUCUCCACAUCCUCAACAACAUUUAUUAUCACAGACAUCCUAGUGGGUAUGAAGUGGUAAUUCACUGUAGUUUUGAGUUGCAUUACCUAAUGGCUAAUGAUGUUGAGCAUUUUUUCAUGUGCUUAUUGGACAUUUGUACAUAUUUCUUUGAGAAAUGCUUAUUCGGGUUGGUGGCCUAUUUUUUAAUUAUUUGUCUUUUUAUUAUUGCAUUGUAAGAGUUCUUUAUAUAUUCUGCAUAAAAGCACCUUAUCAGAUACAUGAUCUCCACAAACUCCCAUUCUGUGUGUUAUCUUUUCACUUGCAAUGCGAAUCUUAUCUUCCUUUGAACAAGGUAACUCUACAAAGUUAUCAAUAUCUCAUAAAAUUGGCAUUUAAUAACUUCUCAGUCAGCUCUGGUUAAAUAUGAGGUCUGAUUAUAAUAAACAGCUUAACAAUGCCUUGACAUUAUAAAUACUACCUUGUAUGAUACUUUCUGCAUUAGUAGCACCAAAAUUAAAAUCAGAAACACAUGAAAUAUAUAAAUAAAUAUAAGUCCAAGGCUAAAUCUUUCUACUGUUACAACUCUACAUUACAUAUUUUAUUUUAGCAAAUGACAUCUCUACCACAAAAUAUAAAAGUUAAUUUGAAUUUUGUUUUAUAAUGUUGUUUACAUCUGUAUUCUUAUUCAUAAAGAUAUAAAUCCAUGGCAAGAAUUGACAAAAUCCGGAUGACUUAAAUUUUACAAUGUAUAUAGUUCCCUGUUGCCGUCAAAACAUAUUAGACUGCUUACAGAAAACAACCUUAGUUUAGCAUAUAUUUCUUAGAAAUCCACUGACCCUAACACUGCUAUUAUUGAAUUAUCUGUAAAUUUGUUGUUUUUUUUUAAUAGCUGACUAAGAGCUAUAAGAUCUCAGCACAGGAGGGACAAUUUUCCAGUAUGGAGGCGGAAGUCUAAUGCAAUGUUUUUCCUUUAAAUACAACUUACAUGACACUAGAGAGAAAGGCACUGCUCUUACUCAAGGGGAAACUAUUUUCCUGAUAAUUAUGAGUCUCAGGAAAUUUUUCUUUCAGGCUUCCUAAAACUAUUAAUUAAGAUAAGAGAUUAGAAAUGCAAUGUACAUCACCCAAAGUUCUUUAAUGUGGACAGUAAUAUUUGUUCACUUUUAUCUUUAGCUGGUGAACAGGCAAAAUUUAUAUCCUAUUUCCCUUUAAAUAGAAAAAUUACUAAUUUUGCUCCAUACAUAAUAGAAGAGAUGACAUUUUACUAUCAGCAACCAAGGCCAGGCUUGUUGAAUCAUAAUUUCCACCAGUCAUUAAUAAGGAAUCUUGGCUCUAGAUAGAGUUCAAAUACUGAUCUCAGAAACUCAGGAAUUGGUCUAAGUAGUACUAUUCAGACCCUAUGGCAACAACUAAAUUUUACUGUGUUGCAUGGUUCCCUAUGGCCAUCAGAGCAUAUUAGGCUGCUUAAAACAAAUAAACAACCAACCAAAGAAAACACAACACCUUGGUCCAGCACAUAUUAUUUUUUAGUAAUCUACCAACCCUGUCACUGCUAUUAUUAAAUAUGUUAUCUCAUAGUCAGCCUAAAGGUUAAAAUGAAUGCAGGUAAUAAACCUUUGCAAAGAACCAAAGCAAAAAACAAGAAACACUGAUAAGUUUUGGGAAUGAGUAAUUAGAGAAUUCAACUACAAAGAAGAUUUAGGAAAACAGAGAUCUCUAUGAUCAGGACCAUCCUGAGAACAAUUCUCCUUUUUUAGCCAAAUAAAUCCUGGGAACUGAAGUUUAAUAAGCUUCAUCCUUUUUCAACAGUACACUCAACAUCAUCCAGCAAAUUAUGCAUUAAUACCAAACAGCUGAACAAGUUAAAUAAAGAAACUGAGGUAUGUUUUAAAAAACAAAAACAAACAAACAAAACACCAAAGUCUCUAGAGCAGGAAUCUAAAUUCUGCCUCUGAAUUGUUUGUUGAGACCUAGGCAAGCUACUCAUCUUCUUGGUCCUAGGAAACUCAUCUGAAAUAUAGAAAUGACCACGGAUCUACCGUAGGAUUAUUUUCACAUCAAUCAAUAGAAAUAAUUAUAAAAUUCCUCAGAGAUAAAGUUCCGCAUAAGUGCUUAAGAAACAAGUAAAUCUAUCACUUAGUAUACUAUACAAGGUUAAGAACUCUGCCUUUUAUUAGUGAAUCCAAAUUUCCUAGAAAAGUGGUUUUCAAACUUUUUUGACUGCAACUCCCAAUGAUACAUUUUCUAUAACCCAGUAAAUGAAACACACAGAGACAAACACAAAUAACAUUUUCAUGAAACAAUACUAACCUAUACUACUCUCAUGCACUGAAUUUUUUAAAAAUAAGACCUACUAAAUUGAUCUCACAAACUACUAACAUAUUGUUUCCCACAGACUGAAAAACACUAUUAAAGUACCUUCAAAAUAUCUUCAAAAUACAUACGUUCAACAUAGAAUCAGCCAUAAAAUGUAAAGCCAUAUAUAUAAACCUGCUAUUAACAUAUAUUACCAUCAGCAAUUACCAUUGAUAGAAGUCUUAGUGAAAUUAAGUGACUGGAAUCCUGUCCUCAAGCCCUCCCUGUGAGGCCUUCAGAGGAAAAUACUACACUCUAGGCAAUCGCCAGCAAAGAAAGGAAGUUUUUGUUCCCAAAAUCCAAUGCAGAACUCUCACGCACAGGACAGGAAUUAAUGUUAAUACCAUUUCCCUAUGGUAGAGAUGGCCUAAGACCAAUGCAGGCCACAUGGGAAAAUACUGGAAGGAAAAACCAAUCCAAAGUAAACAAGCCAUAGGGGAACAGAGGUAAUAUGGGACUCUUGCCUCAGUACUGACUGCCAUAGAAAAGGCAGUGUAGUCCAAAGGUAAAGAUGACCAGGGGCUUUUACUACUCUGCCUCAUAAAAGAAAGAGAAUAUCAUUGUGUUAACCUCUAAAACACAAGGCCCAGAAUAUCACUACUGCUCUAACUUAAAGGAGGUAGACAAUACCUUGACCUUGACCCCCAUUUCAGAAAAAAGCAGAAAGUGGGGAAGAAAUGGAGAAACACUGCUCCCCCAACUGGUCACCAUUCACAAAAGUUAAAAUAAAGCACGUAAGUGCAACCAAAAGGGACUAGCCCUCUCACCAUGGGCCAAUCUGUUUCUCAGCUCCCUCCAUCUCUACCUGUGGCUGACCACAGAUAUAGACCCAGCAAGUCAGUAAUGGUUAAAAAAUGAAAACACAAAUUCUAUUAAUAGUAGUGAAUAACAAAGACUUAAAUUUUUAAUUUAAAAAAAAGCAGUUUACAUUUUUAGUAUAAAUGGUAGUGCUAGGAGCAGAAAAAACAGGGAACUUUCUAUAUCAUAUCUAGCAUAUUAUGGGGGUUGAUUAAAUUCCAAUGAUAAAGUGAUAACAGGCACUGAUGAAAAAAAUUUGGAAUAUACAAUUGUGAAGCCAAAUGAAUCUGUACGAUUUACCCCAGGGCCUUCCCCCUUCUCUUCCCAGGAUCUUCUGGGAUACUCCAUUCCCACAGCCCUGAUUUUUAUUCCAGUCAUCUCCCCAUUUCUCUACAAUCCUUCAGAGCCAAAUUCAUCAAGAGUUGUCUCCAAACACAAUCCUACCCCAUCAAUUGAAAGGAUUACCCAUGAGGUUCAUGUUGCCAAAUCCAAUGGACACUUCGCUGUCCUCAUCUUACUUGGCCUCUGCAAUGGGCAACUAUCGUUUUUGACUGUCUCAUAUUAAUUUCCCCUGCUUGAGUGAAAGCACCAACAUUUUGUUUGGGGAUCUACCCCUCCCCCAUUGAUUAUGUUAUUGGUAGGACUGCAGAUUAAGGUGUUCUUUUCUACCUUGGCCAAACUGUUGGACACAUGACCUAUGUUGAACAAAUCAGACACUUUUCCUCAGAAUAUGAAUCCUAAAAGAAGGAACUAAGGACUGAAAACUACUGCAGCAAGCCAUUCAUUCCAGUAAUACAGUUAGCAACCUCCCCUGGGGCUGCUCAUAUCCCUGUCUUUUAUAAAGCCAGGGCCUUCCGCAUUUCCUUUGGUCCUGUGAGCUGCCCACAUCCUUGUUAUAAAUUCCUAUUCUCCUGAAGUAAACUGGUCACCUGCAACCAAAGAGCUAUACUAGUAUUAUCUCUGAGAAGCACUGCCUCCUUCCUCAAACACUAUUCUUUGCUUCCAAGAUACAUGUUCCUUAUUUCGCUCCUACCUUACUGGUCAUUUCUCUAGUCUCCUUUGAUAACCCCUAUAUUCCUCCUGCACUCAGCUUCUAAAUAUUAAAGUUCCUCAGUAUAGUACUGAGGACCUCUUUGCUUGCUACACUUUCUCUCUAGUGUGAACUCACACAUUCCUUGGCUUUAAAAUGAUAUAGUCUUUAAAAUUUUUAUCUAUAGCUUAGAUGCUUAGAUAUCUCCCCUGAGCUGCAGACUUGUAUAUACAAUUGCAUACUCGACUUUUCUACCUAACAUUUUAACCUGGUGUCUUAAUUUUAACAUGUCCAAAAUGAAUUCUCUCCCAAGCCUGUUUACCAUCAUUCCCUGCUAGCCCCUCUCACUACAAUCCUUUACUCAAGGACCACUAUUUAGUAGUAAUUACACCAUUUAGGAGUAAUUUUUAUUACUUUCUUUCCUUUGCUCCCAAUAUUCAAUCCAGUUAUAAGUCCUAUUGAUUCUAUCUUCAAAAGAGGAAAUAUAGCAAAUCCGCCUAUUUCUUUCUCUACUGCCACCACUCUACUCCAGGCCACCAUCAACUCUUGCCUUAAAGUACUGUUACUGCCUACUAACUGACUCCCUGCUUCUACCACUGUCACUCUCCAUUCUAUUCUCUUCACAGCAGUAAAUAUCAUCUUAAAAUGAGAAUCCUAUUAAAUCACUUCUCUGCUUGAAACUCUUCUCUAGGCUUUCUAAUGCAUCUAGAAAAAAUCCAAACUCCUUAUCCUGGCCUAUAAGAACCAAUGUGAGCUAGUCCUGCCUCUCCAUCCACACUCCAGUCAUCCUCCCUUAUUUGCUCACCAGGCUCCAGCCAGAUGAAUCCCCCUUAAUUCCCUGAACACAUUAAACUCUUUCCUAUAUUAGGGAUUUGCACAUGACAUUUCCUCUACGUAGGAAUGCCUUCAUCCCUCUCUUCCAUUGCUUAGCUUUUUUUUAUUAUUCUUCAGAGCUCAGUUUAACUAUUAACUCAUUUAGAAAGGCUAGCCCUGAUUCCUUAUCCAAAGAAAGCUCUCUAUACCCUCACCUUUAUUUUCUAUCUCUACUGUCUCCAUUGUAGCACUUACCACAAUUUCUAAUCCUUUCAUUUGUCUUUAUAUAGUAUUCAUUUUUUGUCUUGCCUCCCCCUAAAUUGUAAGCUCCACAAACAAGGGCAAGAACUAGUCUUAUUCACUACUAUAUCAUUUCUGAUACUGUGAAGCUCUAAAGGUUGUCUUUACUAUGAGCUCAAAAGGCUUCUAUACAAGAUUCCCUGUAAGCACCUAGUGUGCACUGAAUACUUGUAUAUGAAUGAAUGACAUCGUACAUGACACCCAAAUUUUUGUCUCUAUUCCUGACUUCUCUUCUGAACUCCAAUCUUUCAUUUCUAACUGCUUGCUAGUAUCUCUACAUGGAUAUCCAAAAUCUAGAUAUCAUCUCUCCCACCAAACCUGUUCUUCUUAUAUUACCCAUUUCAAUUAUUGCUCAAUCUUCCUCUCCCUCAGUUGCAAAUUCUAGGUCUUUAACAACCUCCUCCUCCAUAUUUAAAUAAUCCCAGAGGUUCUGAUUCCCUCAGAUUUGUUUUUAUUGUAAUACCCUAUUUAGGUCUCUCAUUCUCUUUCAACAACACUAUUAAAAUAGGCUUCUAACUGGCCACCCUGCCAUUAAAAUUCUCCUUUCUAACCCAUCUUUCCAAAACAUAGAAAUGCUUAUAUUACGCCCCUUACUCAAAGUUCACUGCCUCAGAAUACUAGUGAAAUUCCUAAGCAUGGCAUUUCAAAUAUUCUACAUGUCCUCAAAGACCAUUCCAGAUGCAGCAUCCACUAUAUUCCUCAAUGAACUCUCUACUCCAGCCCACACUUGACUGGCUAUUAAGUGAACACACCAACCCAUGUCAGUGCUCAAGGUCUUUGCUUGGGAUAGUUCUUCAGUCAGUAACAAACAUCCCCAAACCAGUUCUGAUUUUGUGAAAUCUUGUCCAGCCUUUAAAAUCCAACUCAAAUGCCAUCUCCUCCAUGAAGACUCUCUUCUGAACCUUUCCCUCCAGUCAGAAUAAAUCUGUCCUAACCUUGGUGUUUUCACAACACAGUUUAUUUCAUCCCCCUUUGGGUGUUCAUUGUUUACAUGCAAAUUUUUCUCACUGGUUAGGUUUGUUGAAUUUACUCACCCUUCUUCCAUUAACCUAGCACAAUGCUGUACACAAAGGAAGCAUUCAGGAAAUAUUUAAAUAGGUAAACCCCUUAGUUUACAGAGAAAAAGCCAAAAGCUACAGAUUAAGUAACUUGCCAAAAAUUAGACAUCUGCUUAAUGCAACUUGAAAAACUAGAACCUAAACCUCGACUGCUAGUUUAGUUGACUUUACUCUGUCCGCACUAAGAUAACAUAAAGUGGAUUUUCUUUCCUUCAUAACAAAAUGACCCUUACUUUAUUUCAAAAUGUUGCUUUUAUUCUCUGCAAAUACGCUGUGUUGACCCUUUACCAAAGUGAAGAAGAAGUACAAACUCUUAGGUCCUAAACUCUUAAUAAUAUUUGACUUCCAAAUAGUGCCUAAAUGCAUUUUAGAGCCUCAUGAACAAGUGAGAAAAACUUUAAUAAACUAACUGAAUUCUUUUCUUUGAAGAAACUUCAGAGAAUAAAUUCGACCUGCUAAAUGCAUACAAGCGGUAAACACUCACAGCCCAAACCCCGCCCUGAAAUGACAGUCGAAGGAGAAACCGGCAGCCCAGCCUCUCCGAGUCUGCAGCCUUCCUUCUUCUAGACCCAGAAAGAAGGUGAUGCAGCAGCCAUGGAUACCGGCCAGACCAAGGACCUGACUCUUAAACAAGGCUAAGAAGAAAAGUAGAACAAGUAAUUCUCUAUAGCUGCUCCAGCAGUCCUGUGAGGCUCCUCUCGUGGACUCUCUGGUACUCCCUAAUACCUGGCCCCAGCGACUCCUCCUUGCCUUGUCAGCCACUGAAGAAAUAGCAGGCAAGAGCUUGUGGUUUAAGAGCUACCAAUCCAAACCUCAGCAUGCACUCUCAUCAGAACCAGACUCAGUGGUGAUGCAAUCAACACCCGAUCUCAGCAUUUAUCAUGGCAAGAGAUAGUUCCAUAAAAGAUGUACGAGUGUAAAGAUGAAGUAGAAGUAAAAGUAGUUGAAGAGUAUAUUUAAGUUACCGCUCAGAUGUCUUUCUCUUCAGUAUGAUGCCUGUGUUCACAGGAAGAAAAGUAACUGGAACCAGGAGAUGCUCGCUCGUGUGUGCGUGAACAGCACGUGCGUCACAUGAGCAGCAAACUCGGGUUUCUAAUCAGUUAUCCAUUCACAA